AAGAAUUUAAGUUAAAAAAACUAUUAACCUUCAAAGUUAAAAUUAGGUUAUAUAUCUAAUUCUUA
rnacentral:tRNA from 1 species